CUCAGAGGCCAGCUGAAACAAGCCCCACCUAUAUAAAAAUGCACUAAUCAGCCACACUAACCCUUUACAUCGGUCCUUGAGAGCAUAACACUUUGUUCACAGCACGGACAACAAACCUAAGAGCCUUCUUUUCAACAUGGACAGCCUAUAUGGUAGGUAAAACAAGACUAUAACGGAUUCUUAAAUUUAUACGACUGUAUAUCAAAAAAUAUUCAAACUGCUUUCUCUUCUAAACAAAAGCCUGAUUUUUAGGAACAUGGCACACAGGGACACCCCAGGGGUCACUUACACAAGCUUUGUGCUUCUUCUUCUCACACAAAACAGCUUGUGCCUCAUUGUUUAGAAGCAAUCUUACCUGGUUCACACAUAGUAACAUUAAAAUGGGUAUUUCUCAUUCUUUCUACAGGAUCACAAAGCUAUAUUGGGCAAACAACACCUCUAAAAAACACAAGGUUCAAUAAGUUGUCCAGAAAAACCUACAGAAGCGGGGGCAAUAAGACCAAGCCUUACGUUAGGCCUGAGACAGAGUACACAGCGUGUCAAGAAGCGGGGCCAUCCGGAAUAACACAGAACAAAGUCGAUCACACAACCCCUUACCACUACGGAUCCCUUGAAGACCCCUUGACGUUUUUGGAAUAUUUACGUGAUAUUGAACUCCCAGAACAACAAGAAAAACCACAACCUUUGGGCAACAUCGGAGAAUCGGAAGAAUUCUUCAUCACCGGACCACACAUACCAGCGAGUGAGUGUCUGCCUAGUGAUUUCAGCGAUGUUUUCGA